GGAUUAUAAAGGGGUUGUUAAAAUUGCUUUUACUAGAAUGGCAUUCAAGAGGUCAGCGGUUCGAUCCCGCUUGGCUCCACCA
rnacentral:tRNA from 1 species